rnacentral:tRNA from 1 species
AAGGAUUUAAGUUAAAUAAACUAAUAGCCUUCAAAGCUGUAAAUAGAAAAAUGUCUAAGCCUUA